AACGCACAUUGCGCCCGCCAGUAUUCUGGCGGGCAUGCCUGUUCGAGCGUCAUUUCAACCCUCAAGCCCCGGCGGCUUGGUGUUGGGGACCGGCGACGCCUCUCGUCCGCCGCCCCCGAAAUGAAUCGGCGGCCUCGUCGCGGCCUCCUCUGCGUAGUAGCACAACCUCGCGGCGGGAGCGCGGCGCGGCCACUGCCGUAAAACGCCCAACUUCUUCUCAGAGUUGACCUCGAAUCAGGUAGGACUACCCGCUGAACUUAA
rnacentral:misc_RNA from 1 species